GACGAACGCUGGCGGCAUGCCUAAUACAUGCAAGUCGAGCGAACAGAUGAAGUGCUUGCACUUCUGACGUUAGCGGCGAACGGGUGAGUAACACGUAAGGAAUCUACCUAUAAGCGGGGGAUAACAUUCGGAAACGGGUGCUAAUACCGCAUAAUAUCUUCUUCCGCAUGGAAGAAGAUUGAAAGACGGCUCUGCUGUCACUUAUAGAUGACCUUGCGGUGCAUUAGUUAGUUGGUGGGGUAAUGGCCUACCAAGACGAUGAUGCAUAGCCGACCUGAGAGGGUGAUCGACCACAUUGGGACUGAGACACGGCCCAAACUCCUACGGGAGGCAGCAGUAGGGAAUCUUCUGCAAUGGGCGAAAGCCUGACGGAGCAAUGCCGCGUGAGUUAAGAAGGCCUUCGGGUCGUAAAACUCUGUUAUAAGAGAAGAACAAAUUGUAGAGUAACUGCUACAGUCUUGACGGUAUCUUAUCAGAAAGCCACGGCUAACUACGUGCCAGCAGCCGCCGUAA
rnacentral:rRNA from 1 species